AGAAAACAAUUAGUGAUUCCGCAAGUAGUGGCGAGCGAACGUGGAAAAGCCCAAAUCAUAACAGUUUCGGCUGUUAUGAGGUUGUAGGGUUCCUGGACGUUUAAUAAUCAAGAACUGAAAUUUGGUUGGAAAGCCAAGCCGUAGAACGUGAAAGCCGUGUACAGGUAACUGAUUAUUAAGCAAGGAAUACCCUGAGUAGG
rnacentral:rRNA from 1 species